UGCCAGCCGCCGCGGUAAUACGGAGGGGGUUAGCGUUGUUCGGAAUUACUGGGCGUAAAGCGCGCGUAGGCGGUUCGUUAAGUCUGAUGUGAAAUCCCGGGGCUCAACCCCGGAACUGCCUCCAAAACUAUCAGUCUAGAGUUCGAGAGAGGUGAGUGGAACUCCGAGUGUAGAGGUGAAAUUCGUAGAUAUUCGGAAGAACACCAGUGGCGAAGGCGGCUCACUGGCUCGAUACUGACGCUGAGAUGCGAAAGCGUGGGGAGCAAACAGGAUUAGAUA
rnacentral:rRNA from 1 species